rnacentral:lncRNA from 1 species
CUAUCCGCCCAAGGCUCAUCACAUGUACAAAUUCAAACAAGAAAUGCACUAGCGGAAACAUACACAAACGGCUUACACGAGGAUAAGCAAUAGCCAUUAGUGAAAGAGAAAGGAAACUACACAUUCACAAGUAAUAUGAUUCAUUCUAGAUCAUAUUCAUUGCAUCCAUCUCUUACAUUCAUUAUGUCUUUCUUACAUCACAUUUUCCUCAAAAUAAGCUUUACAUUCUUUCUUUACAUCACUAAUCAUCAAUACAAAAGAUGAUCAUAAGGUACUUUACUACAAAAUGAAACCCAACAUUGGUGGCCUCUGACUAAGGCGCGAUUCCUUUACCUCGGUCGCUCGCCGGCUCGCUCGGUCCCGGCUCUGU